CUAAGAUCAGAAGUUAUUAUUAACGAUUAAAAAAGUUCAUUUUUUAUUUCAAUUGUAUAGUUUUUUUUGCGUGUAGUGCAGUGUGAACAAAUGACAGUAUUGUAGCAGUAAUAUAAAUAUGAAUGUUUGAACGUCACUGUGCUGUCGCUGUUCGAUAUAUUUUGACAUUUCGAAAGAAAUUAUAACUUAUAUUUAAUAUGUGACAAGUUAUAUAGUAUAACUGUUUGAUAAAUGUAAUGUAGCUUUAUUUAAUAUUGUAAUUUAUCAAUUAAUUUUUUAAAAAGUUUAAUAACUAUUUUCUUUUUUUGAGGAUAAAGAUAGAAAAUUAUAUAAUUUAACCCAAUUUCACACUUUGUGACAGUUUAUAGAAAUUGUGUUAUAAAUGAGGCUAAAGAUUAUAGUAAUUUAUUUAAGAAAAAAGAACUUUCUCAAGUUAGUCUUCAUAGCUCAAUCUUAUAUAUAUUAUAUGUAGAAUACAACAAUAAAUUUAUUGUUCACAUAAUGAAAUACGUGUUACAUGUGAUGCUUACUUUAAUUAUAAUAGAGAAAUACUAACAAAAAGCGAAACAAUAGCAGAUUAAUGCUGUUAGAACAAGCUUAACCUUAUAUUUAGAUUGUUUGAUCCAAGAUUGUUUUCAGAUGCUAUUCAAUCAACAAAAAGGUUCUAGUAUUUGAAAUGGUUCUAGUAUUUUACUAUAUACAAGAUAAUCUUAAUUAUACAUAAAAUUAAGCUAUGAAUAUCAAUUUUAAUUAUAAGUGUUCAAUAAUUGUUAUUUGUCUAAAUAAAAUUCAGUAAAAGGCAGGGUAGCUUUGAACAAGGUUUGGGGUUUGGGAGAAAGAAUAUGUAGAGAUGAUUUUGUAAGGAGAUGGGCAUUAUUUAGAUAUCUAGUACAAAGAUGUGAUGUCGUAUGGGGUAGAAAUAUGGGGGUGGGAGGAAAAAGAGAAAUUAGAAAGAAUCAUGAUGGAUUAUGUAAGGUGGAUUUUUAGAUUGGAUUUCUGUACACCGAGGUAUAUAAUUAUGUAUAAACUAGGAAUGGAAAAAUUGAAAAUAGGAUGGGGUAUAAGGGCGAAAAGGUAUGAAGAAAAAAUUAGGAACAGUAGUGAAGAGAGGCUAAUCAAAAAGUGUUGGGAAGAAAAGGAAGAAAGGGGAGGGAAAGAUUUAUAUUGGAAGGAAAGGGAAAGUUAUUAUAAUAGGAAUGGAUGGGGUGUAGAAAGAGUUAAGGAAGGAAUGGAAGGAGGGUGGGAUAUGGAGGGAGAGAUAGUAAAAAGGGAAAGAGACGUGCAAAAACAGUGGAUAGAAAGUAAGAUUAGGGAGGCAAAGUAUAAUAAAAGGUAUAAAGAUAUAAGGAAGAUAGGGGAGGGACAUAAGUAUUUGGAAAAGAGCAGUUUGAUAAGGAUGGGAGCAAAGGCGGGGGGAGAAGUGAGAGCGCUUAUUAAGUUAAGGUGCGGUAAUCUGGAGUUAGAAAAUAAGUAUUGGUUAGAGGAGGAAGAGAGAAAGUGUGUAAUGUGUGGGAAGGAGCAGGAUGAGAUGUAUCAUUAUAUGUAUACAUGUGAGUGGGGAAAGAGAUGGUUCGAGGAGAUGGAUAGUAUGGAAGGUAGGGGAAAAGAAAGGAUAUGGGAUGAUGAAAUCGAUGAGAUUAAAGGGAAAGUAUUAAAAAGAAUGUGGAGAGAAAGGGAGGGUAAAAUCAAAGAGAGAGAAAGAGUAGGAGAAAAAGAA